rnacentral:rRNA from 1 species
UACGAAGGGGGCUAGCGUUGCUCGGAAUUACUGGGCGUAAAGGGCGCGUAGGCGGCACUGUUAGUCAGGCGUGAAAUUCCUGGGCUCAACCUGGGGACUGCGCUUGAUACGGCAGAGCUAGAGGAUGGAAGAGGCUCGCGGAAUUCCCAGUGUAGAGGUGAAAUUCGUAGAUAUUGGGAAGAACACCGGUGGCGAAGGCGGCGAGCUGGUCCAUUACUGACGCUGAGGCGCGACAGCGUGGGGGAGCAAACAGG